AGAGUGAACGCUGGCGGCAGGCCUAACACAUGCAAGUCGAACGGCAGCACGGCAGUAGCAAUACUGUGGGUGGCGAGUGGCGGACGGGUGAGGAAUACAUCGGAAUCUACCUUGUCGUGGGGGAUAACCUCGGGAAACCGGG
rnacentral:rRNA from 1 species